rnacentral:rRNA from 1 species
UACAGAGGUCUCAAGCGUUGUUCGGAUUCAUUGGGCGUAAAGGGUGCGUAGGCGGCGAGGCAAGUCUGGUGUGAAAUCCCGGGGCUCAACCCCGGAACUGCCCUCGAAACUAGAUAGCUAGAAUCUUGGAGAGGCGAGUGGAAUUCCGAGUGUAGAGGUGAAAUUCGUAGAUAUUCGGAAGAACACCAGUGGCGAAGGCGACUCGCUGGACAAGUAUUGACGCUGAGGUGCGAAAGCGUGGGGAGCAAACAGG